GUGCUUAUGUCAGUAGCACGUACACUAAAAUUGGAAUGAUGCAGAGAAGAUUAGCAUGGCCCCUGUACAAGGAUGACAUGCAAAUUUGUGAAGUGUUCUAUAUUAAA
ensembl:snRNA U6 U6 spliceosomal RNA